AGCGCGGGGCAACCUGGCGGCGAGUGGCGAACGGGUGAGUAAUAUAUCGGAACGUACCCUGGAGUGGGGGAUAACGUAGCGAAAGUUACGCUAAUACCGCAUACGAUCUAAGGAUGAAAGUGGGGGAUCGCAAGACCUCAUGCUCCUGGAGCGGCCGAUAUCUGAUUAGCUAGUUGGCGGGGUAAAAGCCCACCAAGGCAACGAUCAGUAGCUGGUCUGAGAGGACGACCAGCCACACUGGAACUGAGACACGGUCCAGACUCCUACGGGAGGCAGCAGUGGGGAAUUUUGGACAAUGGGCGCAAGCCUGAUCCAGCAAUGCCGCGUGAGUGAAGAAGGCCUUCGGGUUGUAAAGCUCUUUUGUCAGGGAAGAAACGGUGGGGGCUAAUAUCUCCCGCUAAUGACGGUACCUGAAGAAUAAGCACCGGCUAACUACGUGCCAGCAGCCGCGGUAAUACGUAGGGUGCAAGCGUUAAUCGGAAUUACUGGGCGUAAAGCGUGCGCAGGCGGUUAUAUAAGACAGAUGUGAAAUCCCCGGGCUCAACCUGGGAACUGCAUUAGUGACUGUAUAGCUAGAGUGCGGCAGAGGGGGAUGGAAUUCCGCGUGUAGCAGUGAAAUGCGUAGAUAUGCGGAGGAACACCGAUGGCGAAGGCAAUCCCCUGGGCCUGCACUGACGCUCAUGCACGAAAGCGUGGGGAGCAAACAGGAUUAGAUACCCUGGUAGUCCACGCCCUAAACGAUGUCAACUGGUUGUUGGGAAUUUACUUUC
rnacentral:rRNA from 1 species